rnacentral:rRNA from 1 species
ACUGGGCGUAAAGGGCACGCAGGCGGUGACUUAAGUGAGAUGUGAAAGCCCCGGGCUUAACCUGGGAAUUGCAUUUCAUACUGGGUCGCUAGAGUACUUUAGGGAGGGGUAGAAUUCCACGUGUAGCGGUGAAAUGCGUAGAGAUGUGGAGGAAUACCGAAGGCGAAGGCAGCCCCUUGGGAAUGUACUGACGCUCAUGUGCGAAAGCGUGGGGAGCAAACAGGAUUAGAUACCCUGGUAGUCCACGCUGUAAACGAUGUCGAUUUGGGGGUUGAGCUUUGAGCUUGGCGCCCGUAGCUAACGUGAUAAAUCGACCGCCUGGGGAGUACGGCCGCAAGGUUAAAACUCAAAUGAAUUGACGGGGGCCCGCACAAGCGGUGGAGCAUGUGGUUUAAUUCGAUGCAACGCGAAGAACCUUACCUACUCUUGACAUCCAGAGAACAUUCCAGAGAUGGAUUGGUGCCUUCGGGAACUCUGAGACAGGUGCUGCAUGGCUGUCGUCAGCUCGUGUCGUGAG